GCAGUCGAACGGAGCCGGGAGCAAUCCUGGUGGCGAGUGGCGAACGGGUGAGUAAUAUAUCGGAACGUGCCCAAUCGUGGGGGAUAACGCAGCGAAAGCUGUGCUAAUACCGCAUACGAUCUACGGAUGAAAGCGGGGGACUCGCAAGAGCCUCGCGCGAAUGGAGCGGCCGAUAUCAGAUUAGCUAGUUGGUGGGGUAAAAGCUCACCAAGGCGACGAUCUGUAGCUGGUCUGAGAGGACGACCAGCCACACUGGAACUGAGACACGGUCCAGACUCCUACGGGAGGCAGCAGUGGGGAAUUUUGGACAAUGGGCGAAAGCCUGAUCCAGCAAUGCCGCGUGCAGGAUGAAGGCCUUCGGGUUGUAAACUGCUUUUGUACGGAACGAAACGGUCUUUUCUAAUAAAGAGGGCUAAUGACGGUACCGUAAGAAUAAGCACCGGCUAACUACGUGCCAGCAGCCGCGGUAAUACGUAGGGUGCGAGCGUUAAUCGGAAUUACUGGGCGUAAAGCGUGCGCAGGCGGUGAUGUAAGACAGAUGUGAAAUCCCCGGGCUCAACCUGGGACCUGCAUUUGUGACUGCAUCGCUAGAGUACGGUAGAGGGGGAUGGAAUUCCGCGUGUAGCAGUGAAAUGCGUAGAUAUGCGGAGGAACACCGAUGGCGAAGGCAAUCCCCUGGACCUGUACUGACGCUCAUGCACGAAAGCGUGGGGAGCAAACAGGAUUAGAUACCCUGGUAGAAUCACUAGUGAAUUC
rnacentral:rRNA from 1 species